rnacentral:rRNA from 1 species
UCGGACUGUAGUCUGCAACCCGACUACACGAAGCCGGAAUCGCUAGUAAUCGCGAAUCAGAAUGUCGCGGUGAAUACGUUCCCGGGUCUUGUACACACCGCCCGUCACACCAUGGGAGUCGGAAAUGCCCGAAGUCAGUGACCCAACCGCAAGGAGGGAGCUGCCGAAGGCAGGCCCGGUAACUGGGGUGAAGUCGUAACAAGGUACC